AUUUGACCCUCAACAGAUAUCACAGCCGGAGUUGUUCCAGACAGUGCUGAUCUUCGCGACUGGGUCCGGAAUCAGUCCAAUCCGGUCCCUUAUCGAGACAGGUUUCAAUGCUGAUAAGAGAUCAGAUGUACGGCUUUAUUAUGGGGCUAGAAACCUUUAGAGAAUGGCCUAUCAGGAUAGGUUCAAGGAUUGGGAAUCUUCUGGUGUUCGAAUCGUACCCGUAUUAUCACAACCGGAUGAUAGAUGGAAAGGCGAAAGUGGCUAUGUACAGUUAGUGUUU